GCCUUGAUGGAGCACCAGGGGGAAGAGAAGUCUCUUUGAACAGAAAUGUUGAACAGCUGGGGAGAAAAAAAUGAGUGAGAUUAAGCAGGUGAAAGGAACAGCAGACUGAAUCACACAGUAUAUAGAGGCUUAUACAGUUAUCCAUACACCCCCUGAGUUCCACUUGGUAUGCAUGUGCUUAACUUUCCCAGUGAUUUCAACUAUCAAAAUACCCUGCACAAAACUGGAGACUUUGAAUGUGCUGAAAUCAAGCCACAUUUUGAGGUUGCUCUGCUCACUGAACACUAUUAUUAAAGUUUUUCUAGUCGUGAAUUUCCUCUGGUAUGCUCACUGAAUCAUCACGUACAUCUAUGAGAAGAUUUAAGGCAGCACUAAUGCAGCUGUACUGGACUUGAAUGGUGAAACUGGCGACAGAGUAAAUACCUGCAGGUUGACCACCAGCUAUGAAGAAUGUACCACAGUGUGAGGUCCAAACUCAGAAGUAAGCCACACUCAGCUCACACCCAGCAUUGCUGCAAUUCUAUGUGCCCUCUGCUGUAUAUAACUACACAUAAGAGAAAAGAUCUCUCUUUGCUCUACACCAGUUAGACUACCUACAUCUCAGCCAGCUGGAGGCCUGGCUGUGCUCCAUAAAGGACCCCUGGCUCAAGACUCACAAUGUACACCUAACCCCUUUGGCAAGCAAAGCAGACAGAUUUCAAGGAGGAAUUUCUAAAUUGCAGAUGCAGCACUUUGAAGCCUCAGAAAGUUAGAAAACUCUGAGAAGGAAACAAACAAACAAGCAAACCAGGAACAGAAAUUCUGUGUUAAAUUUCUGAUGGUUUAUAUCACUCCUACUGUAAAUCCCGGAAUUAAAAUCAAGAUAAAGAGUUAAAAUCUGCAAACUUUCUAUCUUCUUGAUUUGGUCUAUUUGCAUGCAACAACUUAAAAGCUUCCUUUCACGCAGAAAAAAGAACUUUUUUUCUUUACCCUGUUAACAUUUUCCCCAUCCAUGGGGGAUAUUCCUCUUACAAGUACAAACUAUUUUAUUUCACUGGGGAAAAAAUAAAUUAGAAAUGAAAUGCUUUAAAAGCCUAUUA
rnacentral:lncRNA from 1 species